GAAAAGCACUUUGGAAAGAGAGUUAAAAAGCACGUGAAAUUGUUGAAAGGGAAGCGCUUGCAACCAGACUUGGCCCCGGGUGAUCAGCCGGUCCCUCGACCGGCGUACUUUUCCGCGGCCGGGCCAGCAUCGGUUCAGGCGGCCGGACAAAGGCCCCCGGAAAGUGGCUCCCCUCGGGGAGUGUUAUAGCCGGGGGGGUCAUGCGGCCCGCCGGGACCGAGGUCCGCGCUUCGGCUAGGAUGCUGGCGUAAUGGCCGUAAGCGACCCGUCUUGAAACACGGACCAAGGAGUUUAACAUUUAUGCGAGUGUUUGGGUGUCAAACCCAUGCGCGCAAUGAAAGUGAACGGAGGUGGGAACCCCUCCGGGGCGCACCAUCGACCGAUCCUGAUGUCUUCGGAUGGAUUUGAGUAUGAGCAUAGCUGUUGGGACCCGAAAGAUGGUGAACUAUGCCUGAAUAGGGUGAAGCCAGAGGAAACUCUGGUGGAGGCUCGCAGCGGUUCUGACGUGCAAAUCGAUCGUCAAAUUUGGGUAUA
rnacentral:rRNA from 1 species